rnacentral:lncRNA from 10 species
AGCUCGUGCCUUCAGUCUCUUGCCUCGGCACCUGGGUGGCUUACCGCCCACAACCCAACGUUUGGCAGACGGGGACAGCAGAGCCGGAGAGAACAGAUAGCUUUUCUGUAGCACGUAUGAGGCAUCAGUGAACGUGAUACCUGUCAUCCUUGCUCUUCCGAGUGCCUGGCUCUGUCACAUGGCUCUCAGGCUGCCUGAAGGCAUUAGGGGCCUAUCAGAGACAUAACUUUUUGCCGGUCAGGAUCCUCCGGGAAUCUGAAUAAAGCUAUGGCUCUUUUUCCCACAAA